UUGGGAGUAUAAAAUGGUACACUUUGAAAAGUUGUUUGACAUUUUCCCUUUUUUCUCUUCUUUGAGACAGGGUCUUGCUCUGUUGCCCAGGCUGGAGUGUAGUGAUCACAGAUUAUUGCAGCCUUGAUCUCUUGGGCUCAAGCAACAACCUUCCAAGUAGCUGGGACUACAGGCAUGUGCCACCAAACCCAGCUAAUUAAAAAAAAUUUUUUUAGAGAUAGGGUCUCACUAUAUUGCCC
rnacentral:lncRNA from 1 species